UGGUGUAUCUACAAUAGUGCUUUCAAGAUAGCGRKGCAUGUCUAGUAUAAGCAUUAUACCGUGAAACUGCGAAUGGCUCAUUAAAUCAGUUAUCGUUUAUUUGAUAGUACCUUACUACUUGGAUAACCGUGGUAAUUCUAGAGCUAAUACAUGCUAAAAACCCCGACUUCGGGAGGGGUGUAUUUAUUAGAUAAAAAACCAAUGCCCUUCGGGGCUCUUUGGUGAUUCAUGAUAACUUAACGGAUCGCAUGGCCUUGCGCCGGCGACGGUUCAUUCAAAUUUCUGCCCUAUCAACUUUCGAUGGUAAGGUAUUGGCUUACCAUGGUUUCAACGGGUAACGGGGAAUUAGGGUUCGAUUCCGGAGAGGGAGCCUGAGAAACGGCUACCACAUCCAAGGAAGGCAGCAGGCGCGCAAAUUACCCAAUCCCGACACGGGGAGGUAGUGACAAUAAAUACUGAUACAGGGCUCUUUUGGGUCUUGUAAUCGGAAUGAGUACAAUUUAAACCCCUUAACGAGGAACAAUUGGAGGGCAAGUCUGGUGCCAGCAGCCGCGGUAAUUCCAGCUCCAAUAGCGUAUAUUAAAGUUGUUGCAGUUAAAAAGCUCGUAGUUGAACCUUGGGCCUGGCUGGCCGGUCCGCCUCACCGCGUGCACUGGUCCGGCCGGGCCUUUCCUUCUGGAGAGCCUCAUGCCCUUUACUGGGUGUGUAGGGGAACCAGGACUUUUACUUUGAAAAAAUUAGAGUGUUCAAAGCAGGCCUUUGCUCGAAUACGUUAGCAUGGAAUAAUAGAAUAGGACGUGCGGUCCUAUUUUGUUGGUUUCUAGGACCGCCGUAAUGAUUAAUAGGGAUAGUCGGGGGCAUCAGUAUUCAAUUGUCAGAGGUGAAAUUCUUGGAUUUAUUGAAGACUAACUACUGCGAAAGCAUUUGCCAAGGAUGUUUUCAUUAAUCAGUGAACGAAAGUUAGGGGAUCGAAGACGAUCAGAUACCGUCGUAGUCUUAACCGUAAACUAUGCCGACUAGGGAUCGGGCGAUGUUUCUAUCUUGACUCGCUCGGCACCUUACGAGAAAUCAAAGUUUUUGGGGUUCUGGGGGGGGAGUAUGGUCGCCAAG
rnacentral:rRNA from 1 species